CACUCAGCUCCUUUCCGCUCCCACCCCAACCCCCCAGGCAUUUGCAGGUGUGUUAUGACAGGCAGGUGGGCCCAACACUCUGCUUUGACAGAAAGGGAGCCAAGGCCCUGCCUGGCACGGUGGGCCCCAUGACUUUACACCAGCACGUGGUGGAGCUCCGAGGAGACCCCAGGUCACCUGGCAGGUACUGUCACACCUCUGGAUCUCUUCCUUUGCCUUGGUGUCCUGGUGGGAAGGGCAGAAGAGCAAGGGGACAUGGUCGUCUUUUAGCUUUAGUUGAUAAUGAUGGAGAGAAAUAGCCAAAUAUCUGCAAAUAUCAGACUUCACUGUCCGGGGAUUCCUUUGGACAAACAUGCUUGGAGGGUAGCCAGGGCCCCCUGGGUUGGCCCUUCCUGUGGUGAUGGUCAUUCCUGUUAUAAUUGCUGUCCCUCUACUCCAGGUGCUGCAUGAUGGAAAACAGCCUCUUUAGCCACAACCGGGCUAAAGAUUUGCCCUCAUGGUGGCCCAGGCUGUGCCCAUACCUUUUCUGUAAUGCUGUCCCUCUCACUUUCACCUGAUGACAUCUUAAAUGUGGCAAUGUCAGGGGGGGUCAGGCUUUAAGAAGCCACCCAAACGGAUAGCCCAACAUGAGAACCUCGGCCCCCACCUGGACUGUCUUUGAGGACCAGAACUGGACAUCUCCAUCCUCCUGGCCCACGUCUGGCAGUGGCAAGCAUUCCAAGUGAGUUUUGUGGAAUGAAAAGUGUCGAGGUUCCAAGACGAUGCUCUUGCUCACCUUUGCGACCCCGAGGCGCUGACUUGCAGGGUGGAGGGAAGAGCAGCAGGGAGCAGCCUGUGUGGGCAGCCGGGAG
rnacentral:lncRNA from 1 species